GGAGGGGCAGGCCGGAAGUGAGCCAUGGAGCACGCGCGCGAGCCCUCGCACUUCCCGGCCCGCGCGCCUGCGCUGGAAUCCUCCCAGGGCACCUCGACCCUGGCGCUUGCGCAGUGUGCUGUUUUGCGUUGCUUUAAGAGGAAAAUGCCAAAUACAGAAGUUGGUAGUUUGCGAAGGCGAGUUGGGGUGAUUGGAGUGUCUUGUAAGAACGCUUCUGCGCUCAAAAGGGCCUUUUAGUGAAGAAAAUCUCUUCCUUUGUUGGUUUGGUUGUCUUUCUGCUCCUAGGUUCCAGUCUAUUAUUUCAUUCUACCUUUUUUCCAAGGAGAAUUUAAAGUAACCGAUAAACAUCACCUAUACAAAUAUAAAGGCGGGUGAAGCCUUUUAUUUUACCCUUACCCUCAACCGGAGCUAGUUAGUCUGAGGAUGCCAGGUAUGUUCGCAGCUAUGACUGAACCUACUGGCAUUAAAUAUCAGCAACACCAGUUCGGUCUCCUAGUGAAGUGAUGGCUGCACUUUUCUGCGCUCUCCCUGAAAGAUAAACUUACAGAGAAGGGCUUCCAUUCAGAGAAAAUUCAGCAGUGCAUGUGACGAGAGUCCCUGCUUCAUACAAACGAAGUCUGGCUUUCCUAGGGCAGCUCAUAACAACCUCUUAAAAAGGAGGAAAACUUGAAACAAGGCACUCUUGAAAUUUUGUUGGACUUUGCUAGACCUGUGAGUUUGGCGUGAAUGUUGAGAACUCAGGAAGAAUUCCACAAUAAGCCACAUUUCUUUAUGUCAUUGAAAUAUCUAUUUUAGAUUAGGAAAUGCCUGUGCUAGAAUAUGUAUGUGCAUUAUUUUCUUAGGGCUGCCACAAUAAAAUAUCAAUUGGAUGGCUUAACACAACAAAUUUACUGUCUCACAGUUACAGAGCCCAGAAGUUAGAAAUUAGUGCGGCAGCAGGAUUAGUUCUCCCUUGAUGUCUCAAAGGAGAAUGUUUUCCAUACAUUUUUAGCUUCUGGGGGUUGCUCACAAUCCUUGGUAUUUCUUGGUUUAUAGAUGCAUCACUCUAAUGUCCGUCUCCAUCUCUGCCAACACCAUGGUGUUCUUCCUGGUGUGUCUGUGUCCAAAUUUCCCUCUUAUAAGGACACCAUUCAUUGGGUUAAGGCCCACCCUGAUCCAUUAUGACCUAUUUUUAACUGGAUUACAUCUGCAAAGACCCUCUUUCCAGAUAAGGUCACAUUUUCAGAUACUGGAAUUUAGGAUUUAACCAUAUCUCUUUGGAGGAUCCAGUUCAACCCAACAUAGAACAGUGAGAGAUGGAGGCACAGAGAGCCUCUUAAAACGCUUGUCGGGGAGGUGCCACGUACCACUUCUGCACCAACAUUUGCAAGAACUACACACCUAGAUGCAAGGAGACUGGGAAACAAUACCUGUCCAAGUUCCCAGGAAUUCAGCUGACAUUCAAAUAGGCAUAAGCCUGAAAAAAUCACAUGUAAUGUGGUCCUUGACCAGUAUGUGGGGAUGUGUCCAUGCCUUUGAAAUUACAGUGUAAGUGCUCCAGUUACCACACUUUCUAAACAGAGAAAGUGCUCAAAACACCCUGGGGUUUUAUUUUGUGUGUCUGUGACAGCAAAGAAUAAAAACUGUUAAACAAAA